rnacentral:rRNA from 1 species
GACGAACGCUGGCGGCGUGCUUAAUACAUGCAAGUCGAACGGUGAACGAGGGAGCUUGCUCCCUCCGGAUCAGUGGCGAACGGGUGAGUAACACGUGAGCAAUCUGCCCCGAACUCUGGGAUAAGCGUUGGAAACGACGUCUAAUACCGGAUACGACGCGGGAGGGCAUCCUCUCCGCGUGGAAAGAACUUCGGUUCGGGAUGAGCUCGCGGCCUAUCAGCUUGUUGGUGAGGUAACGGCUCACCAAGGCGACGACGGGUAGCCGGCCUGAGAGGGUGACCGGCCACACUGGGACUGAGACACGGCCCAGACUCCUACGGGAGGCAGCAGUGGGGAAUAUUGCACAAUGGGCGCAAGCCUGAUGCAGCAACGCCGCGUGAGGGACGACGGCCUUCGGGUUGUAAACCUCUUUUAGCAGGGAAGAAGCGAAAGUGACGGUACCUGCAGAAAAAGCACCGGCUAACUACGUG